AUUGAACGCUGGCGGCAGGCCUAACACAUGCAAGUCGAACGAGUGGCGGACGGGUGAGUAAGGUCGGAGAAAGUGCCCGAUGGAGGGGGAUAACUACGGGAAACGGUAGCUAAUACCGCAUACCAUCGGAUGUGCCCAGAGGGGAGUAGCUAGUAGGUGGGGUAAUGGCUCACCAAGGCGACGAUCCCUAGCUGGCCGGAGAGGAUGACCAGCCACACUGGAACUGAGACACGGUCCAGACUCCUACGGGAGGCAGCAGUGGGGAAUAUUCCACAAUGGGCGCAAGCCUGACGCAGCAAUGCCGCGUGAAUGAAGAAGGCCUUCGGGUUGUAAAGUACUUUCAGUGAGGAGGCGUUACUCGCAGAAGAAGCCCCGGCUAACUCCGUGCCAGCAGCCGCGGUAAUAC
rnacentral:rRNA from 1 species